rnacentral:rRNA from 1 species
UGGGGAAUAUUGCACAAUGGAGGGAACUCUGAUGCAGCGACGCCGCGUGAGUGAUGAAGGAAUUCGUUUCGUAAAACUCUGUUCUAUGGGAAGAAAAGGACUGUACCAUAGGAGAAAGCUCCGGCUAAAUACGUGCCAGCAGCCGCGGUAAUACGUAUGGAGCGAGCGUUGUCCGGAAUUAUUGGGCGUAAAGGGUGCGCAGGCGGCUUUACAAGUUGGAUGUGAAAUAUUGUGGCUCAACCACAAACGUGCAUGCAAAACUGCAAAGCUUGAGUUAAGGAGAGGUAAGUGGAAUUCCUGGUGUAGCGGUGGAAUGCGUAGAUAUCAGGAGGAAUACCGGUGGCGAAGGCGACUUACUGGACUUAAACUGACGCUCAGGCACGAAAGCGUGGGGAGCAAACAGG